rnacentral:rRNA from 1 species
GGCUUAACACAUGCAAGUCGAGCGGAAACGAUGAUAGCUUGCUAUCAGGCGWCGAGCGGCGGACGGGUGAGUAAURCUURGGAAWCURCCUAGURGUGGGGGAUAGCUCSGGGAAACUCGAAUUAAUACCGCAUACGACCUACGGGAGAAAGGGGGCAACUUGUUGCUCUCGCUAUUAGAUGAGCCUAAGUCGGAUUAGCUAGAUGGKGGGGUAAAGGCCUACCAUGGCGACRAUCUGUAGCUGGUCUGAGAGGAUGAUCAGCCACACCGGGACUGAGACACGGCCCGGACUCCUACGGGAGGCAGCAGUGGGGAAUAUUGGACAAUGGGGGCAACCCUGAUCCAGCCMUGCCSCGUGKGUGAAGAAGGSCUUUUGGUUGUAAAGCACUUUAAGCAGUGAAGAAGACUCCAUGGUUAAUACCCAUGGACGAUGACAUUAGCUGCAGAAUAAGCACCGGCUAACUCUGUGCCAGCAGCCGCGGUAAUACAGAGGGUGCAAGCGUUAAUCGGAAUUACUGGGCGUAAAGCGAGCGUAGGUGGCUUGAUAAGUCAGAUGUGAAAUCCCCGGGCUUAACCUGGGAACUGCAUCUGAUACUGUUAGGSUAGAAUAGGUGAGAGGAAGGUAGAAUUCCAGGUGUAGCGGUGAAAUGCGUAGAGAUCUGGAGGAAUACCGAUGGCGAAGGCAGCCUUCCUGGCAUCAUAUUGACACUGAGUUCGAAGCGKGGGUAGCAAMAGGAUUA